GCCCGCGAUGGUGCGGGGCUUCCCGGCCCCGCCGGUCCCCGUCGCCGGCGAUGUGCUGGACGAGAGCGGCGGCGGGGUGCGGCCCCCCUCGCCGCCG
rnacentral:tRNA from 1 species